UACGGAGGGGACUAGCGUUGUUCGGAAUUACUGGGCGUAAAGCGCACGUAGGCGGAUUUGUAAGUCAGGGGUGAAAUCCCGGGGCUCAACCUCGGAACUGCCUUUGAUACUGCAAAUCUCGAGUCCGGAAGAGGUGAGUGGAAUUCCUAGUGUAGAGGUGAAAUUCGUAGAUAUUGGGAAGAACACCGGUGGCGAAGGCGGCUCACUGGCCCGAUACUGACGCUGAGGCACGAAAGCGUGGGGAGCAAACAGG
rnacentral:rRNA from 1 species